rnacentral:rRNA from 1 species
AACGGAGGAUCCGAGCGUUAUCCGGAUUUAUUGGGUUUAAAGGGUGCGUAGGCGGUUUGAUAAGUUAGAGGUGAAAUGUCGGGGCUCAACCCCGAAACUGCCUCUAAUACUGUUGGACUAGAGAAUAGUUGCGGUAGGCGGAAUGUAUGGUGUAGCGGUGAAAUGCUUAGAGAUCAUACAGAACACCGAUUGCGAAGGCAGCUUACCAAACUAUAUCUGACGUUGAGGCACGAAAGCGUGGGUAGCAAACAGG